GCGACCCCGGGUUACGGCUACUCGGUCCUGGGGGGAAAGCUCCGGGGGGAUCCGUGCAGGGUCCUGGCGGAGAGCAGGGUCCUGUGCGCAGUUACCGCUCCUCACGGAGGGUCUCUGCGCUCUCGGGGCACAUAGAGUCCCCAUGCAGGGUCCAUGGUCCCCAGAGAGGGUCUCCCCGUGCAGCGCGGCUCUGUGCACGGAGUGCCCGGCUGCAGCUCACGCAAUGAUGCAGGAGAGACAACAGCACAGGGCGUGCAUGGGCCGUGGGGUCCCUCACAGCCCACCUGCAGGCUUCUGAGACCCCUGCAGAUCCCACUCCGGGGUGUUUUCUCCCACGUUCAGCUCUGCACAUCAGGGCUGCUCCUUGGCAGACAAGUGGACUUGGCCGCCCUCCUCCUUCCUGUAUCUCAGCAGGCUCUGUUUUAGCUACUGUUGCUCUGCUGUCCCCUCCAUUUCCUCUGGGAGCUCCUGCUGCUGAAACCCAGCUUUAUGCUGGGGACCUGGUGCCUCCACCCUGUGCACUUGUCCGUAGUUGCUGGCUUCAUUCACAUGGUGAUUACAAGGGAAGAAUUUUGCCCACCCCCUCUGUCCCGCCUUGUGGGAGCCGGUUGGAGAAGCAGCGAUAUCAUCGGCACGGAGCCUGACUCAUCCCAGCUCUUCAGCACAAGCCGUGCUGCUCGGCAGGGUACACAUUUUAUUCCAAUUAACCCAACACAGGCAAGCCAGCUCCAUGUAAUGAUUUUUUGCUCGUGGCCAAGUGUGCCUGCUCCUGGUUAAAAGGUGAGAGAAGACAGAGGUGAGGCUGAAGUCAGUUGAGAGUCUCCCCUUGUAGUGAGGAGCUCUAAGAAUAAGCCUUGCCAGAUCCCUGCAGGGUCUGCCUUGGCUGCCACAGCACCCCUGCUUCCCUUGUGCCUCCAGCACAGGGUGACAGCACACUGUCCUGUGUCACCAGCCCUCACCCUAACCACAAAGGACCAGGUCACUGGGAGGUGUUCCCUGGAGAUCCAGGUCACAAGCCCAGGUAGGAAUAAUGCCUCUUCUCUCUGCAACAGAGUUCAGCUGCUGCCGGAAGUCCCCAGGGGAGCCAGCAUCAAAGUACACCCGUCAUCAGGAGAAAAUGUAAUGUGACUUGUUCCUCCUGCCCUUCCCACUCCGGUUUCUCAUCUAUUAGAGGUUUGGGUGGUGAGUCAGGGAGCUGCCUUCGAGGAUGGAGCUGAGGAUUUAGCUGCUAAGGGAAAGGUAAACCAGUGCCAGGCAGGUGAAUCACUUGCUGGUGAAAAUAGAUCUUGCCACAGAAAAAUGGACUCAGUCAGAGAUCAAUGUGAUCAGACAAAAGCCAUUUAUUACAAAGCAUCUAUCCUUUUUAUACUGUCAUCUGCAUCUGCUUACAAUAGCUCGGUGUAUUAUAAUUGGAUAGUUGGUGUAUUAUACUUGGAUACAUAUACAAUAACUUGCUGUAUUAGUGGCUACAUAUUCAAUGGCUUUCAGUAUUAAGAUUGGAUACAUAUACAAUGUAGCACACAGCAACUAGUAUACAAUUGGUUGAAUUAAGCCUAUGGUAACCUAGCCUUUAAAACUUGCUCACAGUUCACUAUUGUGUCUUAGCACAUCCCAGUUUCUUCUCAUCUUGCUUGCACUGUUACUUUUGCUUCUUUACCCACAGCUUUCUUCAUCCUCGGUUCCUGUCGAGCUCCAUGUAGGCACUUGCUGACUUGGGAAUGUGGCCAUUCUUUGCUAAAAAUCCAUCCACAAGAUCUUAUACCCUAGGAGGUGUGUGUGGAUGGGGCUGGGACUGAGCUGCAGCUUGACUCCAUCAGUGACUUGUGGAGCCAAGAGAAGAACACGGCAGGGCUGCUUUCCCAGUGAACGAGGCAAUACAUUGUGAGGGAGAAGCCUGCAGCAGGCAAGGCUCCAGCAACCCGUAGUCCUGUGGCUCCCUUAAAAGGGUUGAUUUUAGCCUGGGACAGUGGGGAGACAGAAGAGCCAUAAACACCCUCAGAGGAAUGUGGCUGUUGAGAAACGAGCAUCUCCGCGGGGCCAGAGGGGAGGCGGGGGGAGCGGGGCUGUGCCGAGGUGCUGCUUGGCCAGGGUUUACAGCACUGUUCUGUGCAUGGCCUUGAGAAAUGGCACCCAUGCAGCCAUCAGGGGCCAGGGGCUGCUCAGGGCUGACUGGUCCUGCCCUGCAACAACAUUUGCUGAGUCCAUGGAGUUGCUUUGGGUAACAAGAGCUGUGGGAGUGCAAAGGGUGUUUGCAUGUGUUGGUGACUGCCAUGUACUCUGUGUGUUUGGGCAGGGUGGGCAGAGGACCCCCAGGUCCCAUAGUGUUCCCUCUUCUCCAUAGGAUGGUACAUAAUGCACUAGCCUCUCCUGGUCCCUAGGGUAGACCUUCAGGUAGCAAAGCCAGCACACAGGUUCCUCUGGAUGCCCUGCACUGCACAGAGGCUGAGGUACAGCUCUGCACUUGCUGUGCACCCCAGGAAAUCACUGUCACUGAAAGUAUUCACACACUGCAUAGACGAGGCCCCUAGUGACACGGGUUAGUGAUGGCCUUGGCAAUCCUUGGGUAACAGUUCGACUUGAUGAUCUUAAAGGUCUUUUCCAAUUUGGUAGAUUCUAUGAUUCUAUGAAAUCCUCCACAUGCAGCUCCUUGGAUCUCCUGUUCCAGCCCCUGGGCAGUGCUGUUGGGGUAGUGCAAAGGCCAUGCUUGCUGUUGGCAGCAGCAGGGAACAGAGCUCACUGGCACAGGAUGUAUCUCGGCAACAUCAGUAUGUAACCACUGGGCAGAGUGGCCAGUAAUAGACCAACGCAUGGGACGAUCCUGCAGGAGACAGCACAAUGGAGGCAAACAGGUGGCUGAGGGGAAACACCUUUCCUGGCCUGGCAAAGUGCUGCUCAGAGUCAUCUUGUUACUGCAAGCAGGGGAUGGCAGCAGGGAAGCGCAAUGGGACAGCGACAUGGGACAAGUGCCAGAGCGGGGAGAAGCAUGGCUGACAGCGAGCACCAAGUCUCCGCUUGAAGGUGCUGAGAGAUGCCCAGCAUGGUGCUGAGGACACGAGAGAGCUGUGAGAGAUGCCCAGGACCAGAUGCACCGUGGAGGACAAGAGGAGGUGCUGACCCACCAUUCUAGGUAGAGACAACGGUCAAUUCUGCCAUGCUGCUUACCACCCUGUUAGCCCAGCAGCAGGGCUGGCUUAGCUUUCCUCUUGUCUAAGAGCAGCAGGAAGUUGCUGCCAUCCAAAGCAUCCUGCACUCCCAUUCCACAGGGACCCUGGUAGAGGGAUAAGGGUGGUUGACUCCCAGGACCUGUUCCCUAGAUGUGCAGCCGAGGGUGCUUCCCCACUACAAUGAAUGCAGUUGCUGGCCUGUCCUCCAACUGCCCGAGAGCCAUGGAUGGCUGGUGUGAGCCACGAUGGCCACAUGGCAGAGCUUGAGGCAGCUGGGGGACCUGGGACAAGCGGGGAAAAAGGAGGAGCUUCCAGAAGGAAAUGCUGGCGGGGUGCAGGGAGACCUGGCUCUGAGGCUGGGGCUGGGCCUGGAGCAGGGAUGAGUUCUACUUGUAGGAACAUGGUGCACAGUGUCCUUGUCCUGGCAGCAAAACUGCCACCACCGUGCACCUCAGCACUGCCUUUAGGAUGGCAGCACAUCUAGUCCUGCCCUCACAGCCCUUGUUGAGAGUGGUGCAAAGGCUCUGGCACAGGCUCAACCAUGAUGGACCCAACAGGAAGAUGUGGCCAUGUGGGGACCCUGCAAGCGGGUAGGGAGGGGAAGCUUGCAGCAGGAGAAUGGCAGUGGGGUGCAGGUGGAGCUGCUGCGUGCACGAGGUGUGCGUGCAAACGCAGACGGGGACACACGAGUUCAAGGUGCGGAGCUGUUGCAGACCCCUCCUGAAGCAGGCAGCCCUGGACACACGCUGCUGGCACCACAUCUUGUGCUGCCCUCACAGCCUUUGCUGCCCAUGGGGCUCAGGUUCUCACAUGGGCUCACCCGUGAUGGGCACGGCUGGAGGACGUGGCUGGGCUGAAUUCCAGCCCCAUGGACACAUCCCAAGUGCAGCACAUGAGCAGUGCUCAGGGCGAUUGCCGAGUGCUUGUGGGACAGGGAAGGAGCACAGGAGAUGGUCCUGGUCCUUGUGGAGUUGGCCAGUGCAGCCUUCACCCAUUUUAUUGAUUAUGUAAGCACCAAAGUGUGUCUCUGUCAUCUCAGGGGGUCAUGUAACGAUUGCCCAAUGUCCCCCAUGGAGCUGCAGCCCCUUCAGGGCUCGUCCCCAUCCCCUGCUCACAGCAGUUCUGGAACUCUGGGGUGAUGUCACAGCCCACGUUACAGCGGCAACUGCCCCUGCCCGGACACCAACACAGACCUGCACCCUGACUUCACCCAGACUUUUCGCCUGUUCCCAUCUCCGUGCUCCGUUCCCUUCUGCCGUGUUCCUGAUCUGCUCUGCCCUGCUCCCAUCCCCGUCUGCUUGCUGCCAUCCCUACUGCCCUGCUCCCAGCCCUUUCCACUUUUUCCCAGUCCCAUUUCUUUGUUCCUUGCCCUUAUACCUGACUUAUACCUUAUACCCGACUUAUACCUUAUACCCGAUACGAGGAAAUGCAGGCCCAGAAGAAAGCCACCCGUGUCCUGCUGGUGGCCGCGCUGAGCCCUUGCGGAGGCGAGGAGGCAGAGGACUCCCUUCACAGAGUCCUCAAGCCCUUACCGCCCCGCAAGGUGCUCAAGCAGAGCAGGAAGAGGAUCCUCCGGCUGCAGGCGCCAGCCUGUCAGAGCUGGCUAUUCCAACAACUGCGGGAGCUGGAGGAUCAGGCCACCAGCAGGACACAGCUGGGGCUGGGUGACGAACCCAUGCAGGUGGAUGUUAAAGGGGAGGAGGAGGAAGCGAUGGAGGUGGAUGAGGAGGUGGAGGAGACGAUGGAUACAAACUGAGCAGUGGGCUGGAGAAGAGGGAAGUGUUCAUGGGGUUUGGAGAAGAUUUUGUUGGAAGAGUUCCUGUUUGUUUGAAGAUUGUUGUUUCUUAAGAAAAUUGUUGUUUCUACCAUAGGACUUAUAGGUUUAGAUAGGAUAGGUGUAAGUUAAGAAUAAGACUUUUACAUUUAGGUAGUAUAGUUGUAGUUUUAGGUAGAAGAGUUGUAUUUCUAAGAAGAACGGUCGUUCUUUGCUGUUUCUUUUGUUUAUUUUUGUUGUUUUGUAAAUACAUUUCUUGACGUUCUUCUGA